UUGACACAAUGAUGAUUGCAUAGUUCAGCAGAUUAAACUGUGACGAAUUUCUAUUGUCUUUCGCUCCUAGCUGAUGUGUUGG